AAUCCCGAGUCCCCGUCAGGGUGGACGGGGAGAGUUUGCCGCGGAACCUUGACCUCGGCCCCGCCCGGGGCUUCCUGCGGGUGGGGCGGCUCCGGGAUGAGCUCUGCUGCGGGUGGGGUCAGCCCUUACCCGCUGGCCAUUUCCGUUCCCUCUUUUUUCUUCUUUUUUCCACGCCUCAGGUGUCUCAGCGGAUGUACUACGGUGACGAAGUAAUUUUUCUCUUUAGAUUUCCUUUAAAGACCUGAAAUGUAAAUUACAUAAACGUGUAAUUUCGGAGGAAUAUGUGUAUAUCCUUUAUAUUACAAGAAAGGGAGACCUUAGGUCUUGCGAACAAUGCGCGCGAUGCGCAACACAGCAGAGUAAAUCCCUCGCUGGUGCGGUGGCUCCCGCUUCUAAUCCCACCACUUUGGGAGGCCCAGGCGGGAGGCUCGCUUGAGCCCGGAGUUCAGAGACCAGCCUGUGCAACAUAGCGAGACACCCGUAUGUACAAAAAAAAAUUAAAACUCAGCCACCGAGGCCGGGCGCGGUGGCUCACGCCUGUAAUCCCAGCACUUUGGGAGGCCGAGGCGGGUGGAUCACCUGAGGUCAGGAGUUCGAGACCAGCCUGACCAACAUGGUGAAACUCCGUCUCUACUAAAAAUAAAAAGAUUACCUGGGCGUGGUGGCGGGUGCCUGUAAUCCCAGCUACUCAGGAGGCUGAGGCAUGAGAAUGGCUUGAACCCGGGAGGCAGAGGUUGCAGUGAGCCGAGAUCGCACCACUGCACUCCAGCCUGGGCAAAGGAGCGAGACUCUCUCUCCGGAAAAAAAAAAAAAAAAAAAAAAAUUAGCACCUGUGGGCCCAGCUUGUUGGGAGGCUGAGGCAGGGGGUGGAUAUCCAUUGAGACCGGGAGAUCGAGACUGCAGUGAGCCGUGACUGUGCCACUACACUCCAGGCUGGGGAACAAAGCAAGACCCUGUCUCAGAAAAGUCUAUAAAUAAAUAAAAAUGAGUAAAAUCCACUGGAAAGCCUAUCCCCCCCCUUUUUUGUUUUUGAGAUGGAGUCGCGCUCUGUCACCCAAGCUGAAGUGCAGUGGCGCAGUCUCGGCUCACUGCAACCUCCGCCUCCUGGGUUCAAAUGAUUCUCCUGCAUCAGCCUCCCGAGUAGCUGGGAGUACAGGCGUGUGCCACACGCCCGGCUAAUGUUCAUGUUUUUAGUAGAGAUGGGGUUUCACCAUGUUGGCCAGGAUGGUCUCAAACUCCAACCUCAAGUGAUCCGCCCCGCCUCGACCUCCCAAAGUGCUGGGAUUACAAGCGUGAUCCACCGCACCCGGCCCCUACCCCCUUUUAGUAACGCCUACUACUGACCACGAUGAUGCAGCGUCACCGUCUUACAGUUAAUAGAGGAGACAGGGAAAUUAAACAAUUAGUAGUGGUGACUCAGGCGAUAAAAAAAGAGGCUGAGAUGGGCCAGCUUGGGAAAAGUGGGUCAGAUACAGCCUUACCGAGGAGAACCCUGGCCCGAGGAUGAGGAGCAAGCCCAGGGGAACACUGCGGGAAAGGCCCAAGGCGAAGGAAGAUUCUAGCAAGGGGGCGUGGCUUGUUGGAAGGGCGUGGUGGCCGUUAUGCAAAUUUAACCGUCUAAGGAGCAGCACGCGUUGACCGUUAUUUUCCUCUUUUCUACUUCUUCAUCCUGUCAAAUAUUUUGAACAUAUUUUGUUUUAUCAUAUAACACUAAUAUACCAACACAGCCUUUAUACCACCACAGUCAUAAAAUAUAAUUUUUUUUUUUUUUUGAGACGAGUCUCGCUCUGUCGCCCAGGCUGGAGUGCAGGGGCGCCAUCUCGGCUCACUGCAAGCUCCG
rnacentral:lncRNA from 10 species